rnacentral:snoRNA from 1 species
CUCACAAUACUUGUAUUUUUGUUUCACUUGUGGAAAAAAACUUAUAGUUAGGUGCAAAAAUUUAUCCUCUUUUGCAACUCAGAACACAUGAUUCAGUCUGUUUUGAUACAGACAUGAAGGAAUAUU